rnacentral:SRP_RNA from 1 species
GCGCAGGCUAGGCUGGGGGGUUAGGGGUCCCCUGCAACCGGAAAUCCCCUACAUGCCGGAGCCGAAGCCUAGAGGGAGGCGCACUAGUAUAGGGAUGAUCCAUCCACUAACGAUGAGACCUCGUCCCUAGGGAUCGGAGGUGGCGGUAGUACGUUGCCGGAGGGCAACGUAUCCGCCUUUACCGCGAAAACCGGGUCAGGCCCGGAAGGGAGCAGCCUUAUCGCGGACUACCGAUGCUCUAGGGGUCAGCGGGGUCGAGAAGGUGGAUGGGUAAAUCAUCUCUAUGCUAGCUGUGUCCACCUCUGGCGUGCCUGUGC